rnacentral:ribozyme from 1 species
ACUCAUCAAAGUUCUGUAAAAGGGUUGGAUCCGACGCCUCUAGAAGGCUACUAUAGGCUCUCCUUCUCAACUCCUACUCAAUACGUCCACG